rnacentral:rRNA from 1 species
CCUACGGGAGGCAGCAGUGGGGGAUAUUGCACAAUGGGGGAAACCCUGAUGCAGCGACGCCGCGUGUGGGAAGACGGUCCUCUGGAUUGUAAACCACUGUCCCCAGGGACGAAGAUGACGGUACCUGGGGAGGAAGCUCCGGCUAACUACGUGCCAGCAGCCGCGGUAAUACGUAGGGAGCGAGCGUUGUCCGGAAUUACUGGGUGAAAAGGGAGCGUAGGCGGGACUGCAAGUUGGGUGUCAAAUCUACCGGCUCAACCGGUAGCCGCACUCAAAACUGCAGUUCUUGAGUGAAGUAGAGGCAGGCGGAAUUCCUAGUGAAGCGGUGAAAUGCGUAGAUAUUAGGAGGAACACCAGGGGCGAAGGCGGCCUGCUGGGCUCUUACUGACGCUGAGGCUCGAAAGUGUGGGGAGCAAACAGGAUUAGAUACCCCAGUAGUC